AGCGAGUAGAGACAUGAAACCAGAAAAAAACGAAUCUCAUCAACAAAAACAGUCCCAAGGAGAAUAGAUAAAGAAAUUGAAGCCGUAACUUUUUUCCUUUGCUGACUCCAUUGAUUGUGUGUGUAUGGUCACUGGAGCAAUUACCGCCAUGCCUCUCCACACGUUGAUAUUCGCUGACAAAUUUGGAGGAAAUCAAGAUAACAAGGUCAUUGUUCAUCAAGCCCCCUAAGGGCGGUUGAUUGUAGCCUAGAAUCAUCUACUUAUUUCGUGGCGGUUUGGUUGUAGCUCAAAAUGGUAACAGGAAUGGAUCUUAGACGCAGGUGUCGUAACUAGAAGUUUAGAUGUCAUCCACUUUUGUUGGUUUGUAACCUAGUCGAAGGUUGUGUUUUAAAAAAAACUUGAAUAAAUAAUGUUUGUAAUACAUAAAUUUUAUGAAUGGAUGAACAUCGUUUUGAUCAUGUAGUUUGUUUAUUACGAUUGAAUGCAAUGAUAUUAAACCAGUCACACAUCAUACGCUUCCGCAAAAGACAGGGUGUGACACAUAUAACAUUAAGUAUGAACCCAGGACUACCGUUAAGUCUCAAAGGGAAGCUGAAUUAGAGGUUAACAACUUGAGGAGACCAAGAAUCCUUGGACACUCUUCACAGAUGGAGCCUUAAAUGUCAAAGGAUUUGGACUAGGCUUACUACUAAAAUCGCCACAGGGGGACAUAAUACCCCAAUCUAUUGCAUGUGAGUUUCAAACAACUAAUAAUGAAGCGGAAUAUGAGGCCUUAAUAGCAGGUCUACAAUUAGCUAAACACAUGAGGAUCAGGUAUCUUCAAGUUUAUACUGAUUCAUUAUUAAUUACUAACCAUUUUAAUGGAUCAUAUGCUGUUAAAGGUGAGAAACUAAUUAAAUAUUUAGAAAUAGUCAAGAAAUUGGCAAAUUCUUUCGAUUUUUUUCAGCAUAAUACAGGUACCCAGAGAAGAAAAUGCAGAGGCAAAUGCCUUAGCAAAUCUAGGUUCAUCUUUGAAGAUACCAGAGGAUAUCUGCAUUCCCUAUCAUUCAUGUCCUUUCUCCUGCAACUAAAGAAAAUGAUGCAAUGGAGAUAGUUGACGAUACUACAAUUGUACCUAGUGAUGAUGCACAGCCGCAUUCAGGAUCCUGGAUCCUUCCAAUCAUGAAUUACAUCCAAAAUGGGGAAAUCCCUACAGGGGAAAAUCCUAGAGCUUUCAGAAUCAAGGUAUCUCAAUUUACUAUAAUGAAUAACAUACUAUACAAGAGAUCCCUUGCAGGUCCCUAUUUGAGGUGCAUUGAAGGUCUAGAAAUCCAUGAAGUCUUAAAGGACUUUCAUGAAGGAGAUUGUGGAAAUCACACUCGGGGCAGAGCACUAUUCUCAAGGAUCCUUUUAACAGGAUACUAUUGGGCUAAAAUGAAGAAGGAUGUUGUGGAAUAUGCAAGGAAGUGUGAUGCCUGCCAAAGACAUAGCAACAUACUUCACCAACCAGCAGAACCUUUAUAUCCAGUGGUUUCCUCUUGGCUCUUCAUGAAGUGGGGAAUGAAUAUAGUAGGUAAACUCCCUAAAGCAACUGGAGGAAAAGUAUUCAUGCUGGCCGUGACAGAUUACUUCUCCAAAUGGAUAGAAUCUGAAGCUUUUUUUCAAGUCAGGGAAAAAGGAAGUUAUAUCCUUCAUUAAACGAAAUAUUAUUACUAGAUUUGGAAUUCCUGUCGAAAUUAUUUGUGACAAUGGAUCCCAGUUUAUUGGGAACAAAACUACUAACUUUUGUGACAGCUGGGGGGAUUAAGAUGAUCACAUCAACACCAGUCCACCCACAAGCUAAUGGUCAGGCAUGGGCUGAAGAGCUACCAUAUGUCCUUUGGGCAGAUAGGACAACUCCAAAGAAUGCCACCGGCCAAACUCCAUUCUCUCUGGUCUUUGGAACUGAGGUAGUGAUCCCUACAGAAAUGGUGGUUCCUACAGCAAGAACAAGCAUCUGUGAUCCUGAAGCAAAUGCUGAAAACAUGAUUCAAGACCUAGACACAGAAGAUGAGCUCAGAGAUUUAACAAGAAUGAGGAUGGCUAGCUACCAACAAAGAGUGGCUGGAUCGUACAACAAGAAUGUCAGAGUUAGAAGAUUUCAAGUUGGUGAUUUGGUAUUGAGGAAAACAUUCCAAAACACUACAAAUCUAGCUGAUGGCAAGUUAACACCAAAGUGGGAAGACCCCUUUCUAAUAGAAGCAGAAGCAGGAAAGAGGGCAUAUCGCUUGUUAACAAUGGAUGGUGAUCUCCUACCAAGAGCUUGGAAUGUUGUUCAUCUCAAAAAGUACUUUAUGUAAGAAGGAUCAGGGAUCCUCAGUGAUGCCAGUAUUCUGAUUAAGGAUCCGGGAUUCUCAUAGGAUACAUGAUUCUAUCUUUGGUAACAUUUUAUUUUCAUUGACAUUUAUCUUAUACUUAUUACUUAUCAUAAGCCAAAGAUGUUAAACACUUAAAAUCUGUUUUCCUAAAGUUUAAAAUUUUGCAGAGUUGUUUUCACUUUAUGGAAGAUCAAAGUGAUUGGCCAACUCUCCAAAGGUUUUGGGUUUAUCCCCAGUUUUUGCGCUUGUCCCCAGCUAAGGUAUCUUAUACCUUCUAAGGUUUAAAGGUUUUCACCUUUCACACAAAUUAGAUUUUGACACCCCGCCAGUAGCGCACGUUUAUCCAAGUAUGGUUUGAGGCAAUGGGACCAGUACACGCUUAGUGGCUGACAAUUUCAUUGCUGUUGGCCAUAUGUAGGAUCUCAAGUAUAAUGGUAGACGUACCAUACAUCCGUUAUCGUAAGGUUUCUAACAUUUUCAUGUUAGCUAAGGUUUUGGCAUUUUCAUGUCACUCACGUUGGGAAAGUCGCCAGUUUGGGCCAAAACCCAGUUUACUCCCGUUUAUUUGGGCUUGUCCCCAGUUAUUUGGGCUUCCCUAGUUUGUUGGGCUUCUCCCUAGUUAUUUGGGCUUGUCCCCAGUUUAUUUGGGCUUGUCCCCAGUUAUUAUGGGUUCAUUCCCAAUUAUUUGGCUUAGCCCCAUGUUUGUUUUCCUUACAGGUUCUUGUAGCUUUAGAGUUAUACAAGUUCUGACAUUAAGGAUCCUGGAUCCUUGAAACUUUACUUUCCGUAGUUUAUUUAUUCAGCAAUAAUUUAUAAGGAUUUAGAAUCCUAACUUGGAUUCUCUGGUAUGUUGUAUCCUAACUUUUUCCAUGUUGCAAGUUAUCUCUUAUCCUUUUUGGUUAAGGAUCAAUGAUCCACAUUUAUCCGAACACUUAAAGUUUUAUAUUAAAAGUUUAACAUCAUCAUAUUUCCAGUAAUUUUCCAGUUGAUUGGCGAUGAUAUCUUUGAAAAAAGAGAACAUAAACAUAACAAUAAAGGAAACAUAAAGAGUAAAGGAAUAACAACAUAUAUAGCCAAAACAGUUUAAUAUUAUUUAAACCCGUUCAUUGUAUACUAAGAUCAUCUGCCCUGGAUUUCACCAGCAAAACGUGGACCAUCCACCCAAGCCAGAUAAGGGCUGUCUAAUAGUUAAUUGUUCAUGCAGGAAAUAAAAAUGUUGGAAAGUAAAGAAGGCAGGAUAACAGUGGCUUCAUCCUCCAAACAGAGGAUCCCUCCACCAACUGUCAUCCUACAUAUUGUUCAAAGGAUCAGUGAUCCUUAACCCUCGCAACUAUUGUUCAAGAUUAUUACAGGCCAAAUGUUUAAAACACCAACAACUACAGAAAAACAUAAAAACUGGGCUCCGGCCUAGGCAUAAAUAUCCAUAAUUGCCCAUUUAUGCAGCACCACCAGCAGCAGCUGCUUCAUCUCCUCCUGCUUCUCCACCAGCAUCACCUUCAGCUACAUCCAUAGGCUCGUUGACUCCACUCGUACCAGCCUUCAAAGUUAGCACCUGCUCUUCCUCAACAUCACCAACAAGGUUCUGAAGGGCCAUCUUUAAUCCGUCCACAUCCCAGCUAGAGCGAUCAAAGGAAGGAUCCAUGGCUUCCUCAGCCAUUUUGAUCCUGGCCUACAAGACGGUCUGGGCAGCACAUACCUUAGCACUUUCAAUUGCGUUGACCUGCGCCUCAUGGAUUCCAAUCUCCGCAAACAUCAGCUCCUUGUCUAGCCCUGUCUUCUCCUUCUCCAAUUGGGCCAACUUCUUGUCCUUGGCUGCUGUUAUCUUGCGACAAUCGGAGAUCUUUUCCUCUGCCUCGGUCAAAUUCUUGUCGUGGAUGACUUGAAGACGGACAAACCCCUACAGAAUACAAGUGAAGAAGAUCAGGAUCAGGGAUCCUUAGCAACGGAAGAAACAAAACAUUUAUGAGGAUCCAUGAUCCUUACCUUCGUGAUCACUUUAUGGAAGUGGCGCUCUACUUGGAAGGCAUUAUUAGUGUUGUCAGCAGGCUUCUUCCUUUUGGAGUCGGUCCUAGUACGAAUAGACACCGUCUUUGGCUCCGGUAUGCUUGGGCCUCUGGCCAGCUCCUUCUUCAAAGAGCAUCGAGAAAUCAAGCUAUCAAUGUCACCAAGGUCAAACUUGGACACGGACUUAGAACCAGACUUUUGAGCACCUAUUCAGACAACAAAACAAAAGAUAAUUAUACGUGAUCCUUAACUUCCAUACAUACAUAACAUUAUAACAUUUACUAAUACAUACUUGACAUUGUUAAGGAAGUUGAGGAUGCUUCUACAAGAUCUUGGGGUUUUGGCUGGAAGGUUCUGAUAGUGGAAUCCAAAGCCCAGAAUGCUGCUAAUCGUUGUUUAGUACCAGGUUGCUCAGCUAGCGAAGAGAAGUUAUCCGCUGCAAAAACAAAGUAAACAGAAUCAGUUACCCUCAAUAGAAGAUUGAAAGUUCCUACAGUUCUAUCCUAAGGAUCCUAUAUCCUACCCUUCAAGACCCACUUUUUGGGGAUGGUGUUUCCUAAGGGAAUGGUGUUUCUCCUAACAAAGAAAACCUGGUUUCGCCAGUUAGUAUCAUUCUUUGUGGUUUUGAGGAGUAGGAGUGGAUGUUGUGGUUUGGCUUUGGCUUUGAACAAGAAUAUGUGGGAAACAUGGGAGACCAGAUUGUAAAGACAUGCUAGUUCGGAAAGGUUGAAGCUCAGCCCCUCAUCUCUAAUGAUUCGCUCAAAGGUGUACAUCACUUUCCAUUACAUUGGCAUGGCCUGACUAUAAUACAGACCGGUCAAUGUAAAGAAGUAGGGCUGUAAACGAACCGAACGAACACGAACAAGGCCUUGUUCGUGUUCGUUCGUUAAGGAAAUAAAUGUGUUCACUAA